CAGAACUCUUAAAAUGAGUCUGUAAUGAUCAGGUCAGGCUAAACAUCACCCCAAGCAAACCACACAUGUGCCCCAGACCGAGUUCUUUCCCUAGGUCUGGUUUUCAAAUGCUGGGACAAAG